UCAAUAUAAAUUGAUUUAUAAUAAUUUAUUAAUUAUAUAAAUUAAAAAUUUUUUAGUAUUAAAAAUAAUUGUAAAAUUAAUAGUUUUAGUAUUUUAUAAAGAAAGAAUAUAUUUAAUAAUAGUGAAUUAGUAUUGUAAAAGAAAAUUGAAAUAAAUUGAAAAUUUAUAAUAAAAGAAGAAAACUUAAUUUAUUGUACCUUGUGUAUCAGGGUUAAUUAAAUAAAAAAUAAAAAUUUAUUUUUCUCGAUUUUAAAAGAGUUAAUAAAUUAUUAAAGUUAUUGUAGUAAAAUUAUUUUAAAUAAUUUAUUAGAAAUGAAAUGUUAUUCGUUUUUAAAGGUAUCUAGUUUUUUUAGAAAUAAAUUUAAUUUAUAAAUUUUAAAUUUAUUUGGUUAUUUGUUAAUUAAAUAAUUUUGAAAUUUAAAUAUUUUACGGGAUAAGCUGUAAAAUAAAAUUUUAUAAACUUAAAAUAAAUUUUAAAAUAUAUAUGCUUAGAUUUAGCAAAUAUUAAUAAAUUUGUUAUAAAUUAUUUUGAAAAAUAAAUUAUUUAUUUGAGUUUUAAUUUUUUAUAAAAAAAUUUAUUAAAAUUAUAAAAAUAAAGAUAUAAUGAUUAAAUUAGUAUAUUAAAUUGUUUAAAUAAAGAUAAAUGAAAAGUUUAAUAAAAGAAUUCGGCAAAAUAAUGUCCGCCUGUUUAACAAAAACAUGUCUUUUUGAAUUAAUUUUAAAGUCUGACCUGCCCACUGAAAUUUUUAAAUGGCCGCAGUACACUAACUGUGCAAAGGUAGCAUAAUCAUUAGUCUUUUAAUUGAAGGCUGGUAUGAAUGGUUGGACGAAAUAUUAACUGUUUCUAUUGAAUUUAUUAUAGAAUUUUAUUUUUUAGUCAAAAAGCUAAAAUUGUUUUAAAAGACGAGAAGACCCUAUAAAUCUUUAUAUUUAAAUUAUUUUAAUUGUAAAGAUGUAUUUUAUUAUAAUGAUUUUAAAUAUUUUAUUGGGGUGAUAUUUAAAUUUAAUAAACUUUAAAUUAUUAAAACAUUAAUUUAUGAUUAAUUGAUCCAAUUAUAUUGAUUAAAAAUUUAAGUUACUUUAGGGAUAACAGCGUAAUUUUUUUGGAGAGUUCAUAUCGAUAAAAAAGAUUGCGACCUCGAUGUUGGAUUAAGAGAUAAGUUUGGGCGCAGCCGUUCAAAAGUUAAGUCUGUUCGACUUUUAAAUUCUUACAUGAUCUGAGUUCAAACCGGUG
rnacentral:rRNA from 1 species